rnacentral:sRNA from 1 species
UCUUUAUUCUUUAAAUUUAAGAGGUUCUGAGGCGAAGCCCGUAAUUUACUAGAUCCAAAACCACAGCAUGUAAUAUUAGUUUCGUCUCAAACAUCACUCAAACCGAGGAAAAGAAUUAUUGCAUGAGAAAUGAAAGAACAUUUACUCGUAGAGAAAAAAGAAAAAACAUUGACGUAUAGAUUUUGCUUUUAAUGAAUAACAACGAGUUACCGGCAUAUAUUUAUUUCUUUCAAAAAUUAUUUACUGUCCAUUAAUUCUCUAUAUAU